UCCGGUCCCGGGGUGCGGGUCCGCUCGCCCCUUGCCAGCCUUGCCCAGAGCCGGGAACACCGAGUCCUCAGGCCACGGCGGCGGUUAGGAAGGCAAUUUCCCAGGGAGCUCACCACUAGGAAGGAAAGCAAACUGGCAGACAAACUCCUCCCAUGAUGGAAUAAGAGCCAUUGAAGAGAAAUGCACAAAGGACUCUGCAAACAGAGAGGAAGAACUGAUGUCAGAUUCAGAGGAAUUCCAAGACAAGACAAUGGGAGCUGAAAGUGGGUUGGAAGCAUGAGGCUUCUAGUUAAUAUUCCCUGUCCUGGAAGUCUCUUCAUCAAUGGACCCCAGCCAGUACUUACCAAAUUUGAUACUAAACAAGAUGCUAUGCAGUAGACCACCUAUCCUUCUUUGUUGGUUUAAUAAUGGUUUUCUUUAAUGUUAGCACAGUUUAAAAUUUUUUUGCUCAUCUAUACAGUAUUAAUCCAUUUCCUAUUGCCAAUAACACAUUUCCCUAGACUGGGUAAGUUUUAAUUAAAAGAAUUUAUUUUGGCU